GCAGUAUUCCAUUGUGUGUGUGUGUGUGCGUGUGUAUAUAUGUGUGUUUAUAUAUAUGUAUAUAUACAUAUUUAUAUAAUAUACCACACCUUCAUUAUCCAGUCAUCUGUCAGUGAACAUUUGGGUUGUUUCAGUGUCUUGGCUAUUGUAAAUAGUGCUGCUGUGAACAUUGGGGUGCAUGUGUCUUUUUGAAUUAUAUUCUUCUCCAGACAUAUACCCAUGAAUGGGAUUGCUGGAUGACAUGGAAAUCUAUUUUUAGUUUCUUAAGGAACCUCUAUACUGUCCUCCAUAGUGGCUGCACCAAUUUACAUUCCCACCAACUGAGUAGGAGGGUUCCUUUUUCUCUUAAAAGGUCAAAAAUUCUCUACAUUUAUAUACUUUCCUUACAGUUUAGGACACAAUUUGGCAAAAGCCAGAUAGAAUUUAAUAGCAGUUAAUACAGUAUUUUUUUUAAAUGGCCAUGCAUUAUGGAUAGAUAUGUUACUGAUGAGUUGGUUCUCUAUUUUUGUAGAUGCAGAAGUUUUUAUAGCUUCACAGACAUUUCAGACUUGCAGAGAGAAAAAUUUCUUUACAUUUUGCUGAACUUGUCCGGGUGGCUUUAUCGAAUUUGGUCCAGGCCUGCAGAGAGAAAACAUGAGCCUAUGAAUCCAACAUCAUCUAUGAUGGUCUGCAGCUGGGAACAACCAGAUCAGUGUCAGUCCCUUUGCAGCCAUUGGUUGGGAGCAUGCAUAUUACCUGGAAUGGUAUUUGAAACAUGUCACACUAGCCGUGCCUUUGCUGUGGGCUGGGAGGCGAGUUUUGGAUGACAAGCUUGUAUUUGCAAAAGUACACACCCUGUGGGAGGUGCUCUGCACAUACGUUGAGAUACUGCACAUAAAAUUGCCUCUGAAGCCCAAUGAUCUGAAAACCCGGUCCUCAGCCUUUGAUAAUUUCAGCUGUUAUCUGAAAGUCCCCCAAGUGGAUGAAAGUAUCAUCAAGCUGGAGCAAGAGUUUUUCAUUUCCCUAUUUGAGAAGAGCUGCGUGAAUGACUUUUAUAUUCAGGAUAGAGAUACAUUCUUCAAUCCAGCCACCAGAAGCUGCAUUGUAAGUCUAAACCGAGUUUAGCACCUGUCUUGGGGGUGAUUUAGAGCCUGCUGUUGAAUUAUCAGUGAUUUGGUUUGGUUGGUUUGGUUUGGUUUUUAAAAGCUGCCCAUAAAAAGAAAAAAAGAGAAAGAAAAGAAAUAUGCCUAGAGAUUCCUGUUAGGAUAAUAAACAGUGGCUGGUUAGUUACCCUGUAUAAACCACACACUCUCUUAGAAUCUUUUUAGGUUUACUUCAUCCUUUCUCAGAUCAAGUACCAACUAAGGGAUAGUGUUAAAAAAAAUUCGGGAUUAACAGGCUUGUGAGCUCUGGGAUCUGCAAGGCAGCUUUCCCUCCCCAUGGUGUAAGUCAAAUGGCAGAAAUGAA